rnacentral:rRNA from 1 species
CCAAGUGGUCAAACUUCUGUCAGAUCUGAGAAGCUAAGCAGGGCUGGGCCUGGUCAGCACUUGGAUGGGAGAACGCUGGAAAUACCAGGUGCCACAGUGG